rnacentral:rRNA from 1 species
CACGUAGUUAGCCGGUGCUUUUUCUGCAGGUACCGUCACUUUCGCUUCUUCCCUACUAAAAGAGGUUUACAACCCGAAGGCCGUCGUCCCUCACGCGGCGUUACUGCAUCAGGCUUUCGCCCAUUGUGCAAUAUUCCCCACUGCUGCCUCCCGUAGGAGUCUGGGCCGUGUCUCAGUCCCAGUGUGGCCGGUCACCCUCUCAGGCCGGCUACCCGUCGUCGCCUUGGUGAGCCAUUACCUCACCAACUAGCUGAUAGGCCGCGAGUCCAUCCUUGACCAAAAUUCUUUCCAACUCCUAGCCAUGCGGCUGAAGCUCGUAUCCGGUAUUAGACGCCGUUUCCAGCGCUUAUCCCAGAGUCAAGGGCAGGUUACUCACGUGUUACUCACCCGUUCGCCACUAAUCCCCCCAGCAAGCUGGAGUUCAUCGUUCGACUUGCAUGUGUUAAGCACGCUGCCAGCGUUCGUCCUGAGCCAGGAUCAAACUCU